rnacentral:tRNA from 2 species
CGGGAUGUAGCAUAGUCCGGUUAAUGUACCUGGUUUGGGACCAGGGGAUCGCAGGUUCGAAUCCUGCCAUCCCGA